rnacentral:rRNA from 1 species
AUUGAACGCUGGCGGAAUGCUUUACACAUGCAAGUCGAACGGUAGAGGGGGCAACCCCUUGAGAGUGGCGAACGGGUGAGUAAUAUAUCGGAACGUGCCCAGUCGUGGGGAUAACGUAGCGAAAGUUACGCUAAUACCGCAUACGAUCUAAGGAUGAAAGCGGGGGGACUCGCAAGAGCCUCGCGCGAUUGGAGCGGCCGAUAUCAGAUUAGGUAGUUGGUGGGUAAAGGCUCACCAAGCCAACGAUCUGUAGCUGGUCUGAGAGGACGACCAGCCACACU